AUAAGUAAAGGUGGCGACCAGGGCGGCCGCACUUCCCGCUGCCUCUGCGGCACCCACACCGGCGUCUGGGGCGCUGCCGGCUCCCAGGAACGCUCGUUAAAGGAGGCCUGCGAACGAGCGAGCCGCGGGUGGCCCUGGGUGCGGGGGUCCGGCCGGGCGGCCGUGCUCCGGGCGCCGACGACCCUCCCUCCCUGCCGGGGCUGCGCACGAGCCCGCAGCCGGCCGCGACCGGCGUCGGCGGAGUGGGGCUGCAGGGCCGACCCCGGGUUGCGGGCCGCGCCUCACACAGCGGCGAGCGCGGCGUUUUACGGCCGGAACGAGGUGCGCGCGCGCUCGUGACGAGAUCGAGUCCCACCAGCGGCAAGACCUGAAGGGUGCCAGCGGCUGCGCCACCCCACGCUUGCAAGUGGACGUAGUGUUUUCAGGAGUUUCGGGCCUGACCCGGCUCCAUCCUCUCCCCGCUCUUAAGUGACUGGCAGGAGCCGAUUGGGAGGGCCCCGCAGGCCUCCCCGAGGACCUGCCUCCUCCUGCCCGUGUGACCUGCCGUCCUUCUGGGAUCCCAGCUCCUCGCCGCGCGGGGAGGCCCGAGCGGGAAGCGGACCCUUCUUCUCGGGGCCGCGUGUUUCCGGCCGGAGCGUUUUCCCGGAGGGCCCGGACGGCGCGCCUCUUCCCCAGGGUCUCUCCCUGGAGGUCGCGGUCCCUCCUUGCCCGGGACUUCCUUACGGGCGCUCUCCCAGUGGCCGCCGCUUCCGCCCGGCCGGACCAGAGAGAUGGUCCCAGCUCGCCUCGGACGGGCGCGAGAGGACGACGGCCGGGACGGAGUUACUUCGAGGAAGAGCCGGCACGGUGUGAGCGGCGGAGAGGGGAGAACCAUAGAGAGGGUGGCGGCGGAUAGAGCAGCCGGGACGGGAGGGAAACGAGGGAAGGAGAGAUGUUUGUGUGUAGAAGGGCGGGAGGAGGAAAAAACCCCCCCAAAACAAAAAACCAACCAUAGAGAGGCCAGCGGAGGCAGGAAGGGCCGCGGUGGGCGGGGCGGAAGAAAGGGGGUGUGGGAAAGGGACCUGGCCUCCGAAGGCGGCGCGGAGGCUGCGGCGGGACUGACUCCUGGCAGGAGGCAUGCGGUGUGUUUUUUCGGUGUCCGCUCCCUCUUGGAGCCUCAGUUUUCCCCCUGCAAACGGGCAUGGUUGCGAUGCCCACCUUCCCGGGUUCGGACCUCAUUCUUUCUCAGGCCCGCGUUGCAGCGCCGGUCCCCUCCCUCGGCCCCCGGCCCGCUCUCGAUGUCUGACGGUUCCGGUUUCCCUACAUCCUCGCGGAGCUCCGGUGUCUUCGGGUUCACCCAAUGGCCUUUCCCUUCAGGUCCCGCAGCACCUCCCACUGGGACUUGAACUCCGCAUGGCCCCUGGAAGCACCCACCUCAUCCAUCAGCUUUGUUUUCUUGCCCUUUGUACCACAGCUGCUUUCCAGAUUCUUGCUAAGUGCGUUAAGUUGGGGGAUGUAGACGGAGCAGUGUCUGACCAUAUUCACCGUCAGAGCCCCAGGUGCUGGGGUGAAGACUGCGGUGUGCCUGCUUCGCUGCUUCCACAGACGGAAUGUGUCUCCCCCUCCCCCGCACCCCAGAUUCAUAUGUUGAAACCUAAUCCCCAAUGUGACAGUAUUAGGAGAUGGGGCCUUUGAGAAUCGAUUAGACCAUGGUGGGGAGGCUCCAUGAAUGGGUUUAGUGCUCUUAUAAAACGGACCCCAGAGACCUCCCUUGCCCCUUCCGUGUGGGGACAACAGAAGGUGCGGUCUGUGAAUCUGGACGCUGAAUCUGCUGGCAUGUUGACCGUAGCCUUCCCAGCCUCCACAACUGUGAGAAGCACAUUUCUCCCACCCUGGGUCUGGGGUUCUAUGAUGGGAGUCAGUGGACGGGGGAUGUUGUGUCGCGGGAGCACAUUGUUGAGCUUUUCCAGACCUAGGUUUCUUCAGCCCGCCAGGCCUCCUCCCUGCCAUCGAGAGAGAUCCUUCCACUUAAAAAUGGGCCAGAUGUUUCAGGAGAGGAGCUCUCUCUCUCUCUGACAAAUAAAAUCUUAA